CAGCCGCCACGGGAAUACGUAGGUGGCAAGCGUUGUCCGGAAUUAUUGGGCGUAAAGGGCUCGCAGGCGGUUUCUUAAGUCUGAUGUGAAAGCCCCCGGCUCAACCGGGGAGGGUCAUUGGAAACUGGGAAACUUGAGUGCAGAAGAGGAGAGUGGAAUUCCACGUGUAGCGGUGAAAUGCGUAGAGAUGUGGAGGAACACCAGUGGCGAAGGCGACUCUCUGGUCCGUAACUGACGCUGAGGAGCGAAAGCGUGGGGAGCGAACAGGAUUAGAUACCCGGGUAGUCCCUGUCUCUUAUAC
rnacentral:rRNA from 1 species